rnacentral:rRNA from 1 species
UGCCAGCAGCCGCGGUAAGACGAGCUCCCCAAACGUUAUUCGGUAUUACUGGGCUUAAAGAGUUCGUAGGCGGCGAAGUAGGUGAGGUGUGAAAGCCCUCGGCUCAACCGAGGAACUGCGCUUCAAACCGCUUUGCUAGAGGGAGAUAGGGGUAAGCGGAACAGAUGGUGGAGCGGUGAAAUGCAUUGAUAUCAUCUGGAACACCGGUGGCGAAAGCGGCUUACUGGGUCUUUUCUGACGCUGAGGAGCGAAAGCUAGGGUAGCGAACGGGAUUAGAUACCCUGGUAGUCC